UGAAUACGAGAUGCUACGGCGUCGAAGCAGUGUAUGUCAGACUUCCAAGAAAAGCUCGCAAUGUCAUAAAUAAAGAAUGCCUGUACCAUAACCGACACAGGUGGGUAGGUAGAGUAUACCAAGGGGCGCGAGAUAACUCUCUCUAAGGAACUCGGCAAAAUAACUCCGUAACUUCGGGAGAAGGAGUGCCUUCUUUAAGAAGGUUGCAAUAACAAGAUCCAAGCAACUGUUUAUCAAAAACACAGGUCUCCGCUAAGUCGUAAGACGAUGUAUGGGGGCUGACGCCUGCCCAGUGCCAGAAGGUUAAAGAAGCUGGUUAGCAAUAGCGAAGCUGGUGACUGAAGCCCUGGUGAACGGCGGCCGUAACAAUAACGGUCCUAAGGUAGCGAAAUUCCUUGUCGGGUAAGUUCCGACCCGCACGAAAGGCGUAAUGAUUUGGAUACUGUCUCGGAGAGGGACUCGGUGAAAUAGACUUGUCUGUGAAGAUGCGGACUACCUUCACCAGGACAGAAAGACCCUAUGAAGCUUUACUGUAACCUGAAAUUGAAAUUGGACUUUAUUUGCGCAGUAUAGGUGGGAGGCGUUGAAAGUAAUCUUGCGGGAUUAGUGGAGCCAUCAGUGAGAUACCACUCCUAUAAUGUUAGAUUUCUAACUCUGGAUCAUGAUCUGGUCAAAGAACAGUUUCAGGCGGGCAGUUUGACUGGGGCGGUCGCCUCCCAAAUGGUAACGGAGGCGUACAAAGGUUUCCUCUGAACGGGUAGAAAUCGUAUCUAGAGUGUAAAGGCAUAAGGAAGCUUGACUGUGAGACCUACAAGUCGAGCAGGGACGAAAGUCGGUCUUAGUGAUCUGACGGUGCUGAGUGGAAAGGCCGUCACUCAACGGAUAAAAGUUACUCUAGGAUAACAGGCUGAUCUCCCCCAAGAGUUCACAUCGACGGGGAGGUUUGGCACCUCGAUGUCGGCUCAUCGCAUCCUGGGGCGGUAGUACGUCCCAAGGGUUGGGCUGUUCGCCCAUGAAAGCGGUACGCGAGCUGGGUUCAGAACGUCGUGAGACAGUUCGGUCCAUAUCCGGUGUAGGCGUUAGAAUAUUGAGAGGAGCCUUCUCUAGUACGAGAGGACCGAGAAGGACAUACCUCUGGUGUACCAGUUAUCGUGCCAACGGUAAACGCUGGGUAGCUAUGUAUGGAGAGGAUAACCGCUGAAAGCAUCUAAGUGGGAAGCCCACCUCAAGAUGAGUAUUCUCA
rnacentral:rRNA from 1 species